rnacentral:ncRNA from 2 species
AGUCGAUAAAGGCAAACCCAUCGAAAGGUGGGGGCGCAAAGCCAUGGGUCUAAGGCCUCGCUCCGGAGGCUAUGAUUGCCAGGUUGCCGAA